rnacentral:rRNA from 1 species
UAACCUGAGAACCCAAAAGAUCGAAUGGGGAGAUUCAUCGUCAGCUCAUUUUGUAUAUGUAUAAGUUAUGAUGCGGGUUACUACUUGUAGUAUUGCCUGCACAUUCUUGUAUAUUUAGUUGCAAGAUGUUGUCGGCGUGCACUUCUCCCCUAGUAGAACGUCGCGACCUGUUGGGUGUCGGUCUACGGCCCAAGUGAUAGACUUUAAUGUAAUUUAAAAAGCAUUAAAGAUCCUUGGUGUUUUCUGACCGGCUACUUGGCAGUAUUCGUACGGUAUUUAGCCGCUAAAUUUAUUAAGCGUCCAUAUCCGUCACAAGCGAGGCUAAUUUACUGAUAGUACGGACCUAGUGCCGUCGUUGGUAUUGGCCAGCUGUUGGUUGUAUGGUAUUCUAGGACUGGCUAAAAUUAAUUACCGGUCGGCGAUGCUACUGCUUUGGGUACUUUCAGGACCCGUCUUGAAACACGGGACCAAA